AGGUGAGCCAACAUACAGGAACCCUAACUCAGACCAGGGCUAUAGGAGCGGUGGUUGGCCAGAGCAAACAGAGCAGUGGCAACUGGAAAAAAAGAAAAAAAACAGAUAAAGAAAGAGACAAAGUCUUAGGCAGGACAUCUGAUACAGUACAGUCAAAACAAACUCCUUUCUUCCUUUCAAGAAUAUUGCUAGCAGCGAGAGCACUGAACGUUUCAUAGGCUUAAUUAUUACACAGUGUAUGUUACUAGAAAGACCAAGAGAAUGAUUUUUGAUUUAACAGGCUUUUUUUUUUCUUCUUUUUUUUCCUUUGUGAGCUGUACAGUCAGAAACAGUGGUUUACAACAUGUGGUCUGCAGACUCUGAGAGAUCCAGUGGACUUCCAAGGGCUUCAGAAGAGCUGGCUAAUUACAAAGCCUGAAUCAGCAGCUUGCCCAACUAGGGCAACGACUCCAUCUGUACCUGUGACCCUUGGAAAGAUCUCCCGGUGUGCUCAGGGGCAUGUGUGGAGCUCUGUGGAAGUCAGUUUGCUGAGGAAGAAAGCCUUAAAAACACUCCUCCAUUUUUUUGAUGUGUUGUUUUGUAUUAAAUAAAAGUGCUCGUUCAUAGGAA
rnacentral:lncRNA from 1 species